rnacentral:rRNA from 1 species
CACUGUCACUCCUACGGGAGGCAGCAUGGGGAAUAUUGCACAAUGGGCGCAAGCCUGAUGCAGCCAUGCCGCGUGUGUGAAGAAGGCCUUCGGGUUGUAAAGCACUUUCAGUCGUGAGGAAGGUGGUAGUGUUAAUAGCACUAUCAUUUGACGUUAGCGACAGAAGAAGCACCGGCUAACUCCGUGCCAGCAGCCGCGGUAAUACGGAGGGUGCGAGCGUUAAUCGGAAUUACUGGGCGUAAAGCGCAUGCAGGUGGUUUGUUAAGUCAGAUGUGAAAGCCCCGGGGCUCAACCUCGGAAUAGCAUUUGAAACUGGCAGACUAGAGUACUGUAGAGGGGGUAGAAUUUCAGGUGUAGCGGUGAAAUGCGUAGAGAUCUGAAGGAAUACCGGUGGCGAAGGCGGCCCCCUGGACAGAUACUGACACUCAGAUGCGAAAGCGUGGGGAGCAAACAGGAUUAGAUACCCUGGUAG